rnacentral:lncRNA from 1 species
CUUGGCUUAGGAAGGUGGCAUGAAUGAGACUGAUGUUCUAAAUGCAGGAUGCUGGCAGAACAGAAAUUACCACAUGGCAGAGUCAAGAAUUUGGAUACAGCUUGGCUACUUGCACUUCUGCAGGAUGAUGACCCAGAGACAUUAUUUUACUUCUGGGAAUUUUUUUGUGUGACUUCAAUAUACUCAGGACUGAUGGAUAAAAUGCAUAUGUGUGUAUUAAAUACAGAUAUCCUUUUACACAUUUUUCUUUACUUCUUUAUCAAUAUCCAGAAUCUGAAACUGCAACCAUCAAUAUGUGAUCAAAUCUCAGGUAUUAAUAUGAAGGAUGUCAAACUUUC